rnacentral:miRNA from 1 species
AUCAACGGAAAGCUUUUGGCUAGGGUUUGGUUAGGACUGAUAAGCAGCUGAGGGUUUUCAGGAGACAAGGAGAAGCAAUAUGAAAUGAAAUCUAAAGAUGAAGCUGCUCCCCACACAAAAGAACUAACCAUACAAUCACACAAUCGUCUCCAAUAAGCAAACGCGUUUACCAUCAUUAGUUUUCAUUCAAGUGUUCUGAAAGCUGAAGAUAAGCUGUUUACAAACACCGUCGAGAUGAACUUGAAAGGUGAAAAGCUGAGGCUGGAGAAAGAGCAAGAGUUCUUGUGAUCUAUGUGAUAUAUAUGUAUAUAUAUAGUUCUUGUCUGCUGUCUUGUUGUAAUUUAUAGUGAAAGUUCUGUUGUAAUCUAUUGUAAAGAAAAUCAAGUGUAGAUUGACUUUGAAUAUUCUUGCAAG